rnacentral:misc_RNA from 1 species
UUUCCGUAGGUGAACCUGCGGAAGGAUCAUUAAAGUUAUAGUCCCCUGGCCCUCUGGGCUGGGGUCUUCUAUACCACCCUUUGUUUAUUACACCUUUGUUGCUUUGGCAGGCCUGCCCUCGGGCUGUUGGCUCCGGCCGGCGAGCGCCUGCCAGAGGACCUAAACUCUGUUUGUCUAUAAUGUCUGAGUACUAUAUAAUAGUUAAAACUUUCAACAACGGAUCUCUUGGUUCUG